ACGCUGGCGGCGUGCUUAACACAUGCAAGUCGAACGAUGAAGCUGGAGCUUGCUCCAGUGGAUUAGUGGCGAACGGGUGAGUAACACGUGAGCAAUCUGCCCUUGACUCUGGGAUAACUGCGGGAAACUGUAGCUAAUACCGGAUACGACACCUUGGGGCAUCCCGAGGUGUGGAAAGAAUUUCGGUCAAGGAUGAGCUCGCGGCCUAUCAGCUAGUUGGUGAGGUAAAGGCUCACCAAGCCAACGAUCUGUAGCUGGUCUGAGAGGAUGACCAGCCACAUUGGGACUGAGACACGGCCCAAACUCCUACGGGAGGCAGCAGUGGGGAAUCUUGGACAAUGGGCGCAAGCCUGAUCCAGCCAUUCCGCGUGAGUGAAGAAGGCCUUCGGGUUGUAAAGCUCUUUCGCAAGGGAAGAAAACUUAGCCACUAACAUUGGCUGAGGUUGACGGUACCUUGAUAAGAAGCACCGGCUAACUACGUG
rnacentral:rRNA from 1 species